rnacentral:rRNA from 1 species
GACAGAGGGUGCAAACGAUGUUCGGAAUUACUGGGCGUAAAGCGCGUGUAGGCGGCAAGGCAAGUCGGAUGUGAAAGCCCGCGGCUCAACCGUGGAAGUGCACUCGAAACUGCCUAGCUAGAGUCUCGGAGAGGAAGGUGGAAUGCUUGGUGUAGAGGUGAAAUUCGUAGAUAUCUGGAGGAACACCGGUGGCGAAGGCGGCAUCCUGGACCAAUAUUGACGCUGAGGAGCGAAAGCUAGGGGAGCAAACGGG